rnacentral:rRNA from 1 species
GGCGUCUAACGAAGAGACCGUCGGGGCUACCAUGCAGUCGAGGGGUAACAGGGAGCUUGCUCCGCUGACGACCGGCGCACGGGUGCGCAACGCGUAUGCAAUCUACCUCUUACUAAGGGAUAGCCCAGAGAAAUUUGGAUUAAUAUCUUAUGUGAUAUGUGACUGGCAUCGGUUACAUAUUAAAGGUUACGGUAAGAGAUGAGCAUGCGUCUCAUUAGUUAGUUGGUAAGGUAACGGCUUACCAAGACUUCGAUGAGUAGGGGUCCUGAGAGGGAGAUCCCCCACACUGGUACUGAGACACGGACCAGACUCCUACGGGAGGCAGCAGUGAGGAAUAUUGGACAAUGGACGGAAGUCUGAUCCAGCCAUGCCGCGUGUAGGAAGACUGCCCUAUGGGUUGUAAACUACUUUUAUACAGGAAGAAUAAGAUCUACGUGUAGAUUGAUGACGGUACUGUAAGAAUAAGGACCGGCUAACUCCGUGCCAGCAGCCGCGGUAAUACGGAGGGUCCGAGCGUUAUCCGGAAUUAUUGGGUUUAAAGGGUCCGUAGGCGGGCUGUUAAGUCAGAGGUGAAAUGCUGCGGCUCAACCGUAUGCACUGCCUUUGAUACUGGCGGUCUUGAGUUAUAGUGAAGUGGCUAGAAUAAGUAGUGUAGCGGUGAAAUGCAUAGAUAUUACUUAGAAUACCGAUUGCGAAGGCAGGUCACUAACUAUACACUGACGCUGAUGGACGAAAGCGUGGGUAGCGAACAGGAUUAGAUACCCUGGUAGUCCACGCCGUAAACGAUGGAUACUAGCUGUUCGGUUUUCGGACUGAGCGGCCAAGCGAAAGUGAUAAGUAUCCCACCUGGGGAGUACGUUCGCAAGAAUGAAACUCAAAGGAAUUGACGGGGGCCCGCACAAGCGGUGGAGCAUGUGGUUUAAUUCGAUGAUACGCGAGGAACCUUACCAGGCUUAAAUGUAGAUUGACAGGUUUAGAGAUAGACUUUUCUUCGGACAUUUACAGUGCUGCAUGGUGUCGUCAGCUCGUGCCGUGGAGGUGUCAGGUUAGUCCUAUACGAGCGCACCCUGUCGUAGUUGCCAGCAUGUAAUGAUGGGGACUCUAACGAGACUGCCGGUUGCAACCUGAGAAGGGUGGGGAAUAACGUCAUCAUACGGCGUUACGUCCUGGGCCACACACAUGUGCGCUGCUC